GCUGACCAGUUCUCUGGUGGUUACUGCUACUGAUCCAUCCAAACUGCUGGACUUCUUCAUACCCAAGGUCUUCAGGCAGUAUCUAAUGGGAAGUCAACUUAAAGGAACCAGACCAUCAUUUCCCAGCCUGCCCUUUUAUUCUGUAGCUACCUCUAUGUGAGGAAAGGAUAGAAAACAUUCAAGACAUCAUACGGGCUUACGAUCUACAGAUUCCAACCAGUAGCAGUGGCUGACUCCUACAUAGAAGACUGGGAACUACAAACAGGCUGGGGUCACCUCAGUGACAUCUGACGCUGUCCAACCAGAAGUCUGACUUGUGUGUUGCAGGAAUUGAAGAAUGUACUAAAAGACUAAAAUAUUUCGUCUCUAU
rnacentral:lncRNA from 1 species